UACGUAGGGGGCGAGCGUUGUCCGGAAUCAUUGGGCGUAAAGAGCGUGUAGGCGGUCCGGUAAGUCCGUUGUGAAAGUCAGGGGCUCAACCCUUGAAUGCCGGCGGAUACUGUCGGGCUAGAGUCCGGAAGAGGCGAGUGGAAUUCCCGGUGUAGCGGUGAAAUGCGCAGAUAUCGGGAGGAACACCUAUGGCGAAGGCAGCUCGCUGGGACGGUACUGACGCUGAGACGCGACAGCGUGGGGGAGCAAACAGG
rnacentral:rRNA from 1 species